rnacentral:rRNA from 1 species
UACGAAGGGGGCUAGCGUUGCUCGGAAUUACUGGGCGUAAAGGGAGCGUAGGCGGGUCGUCAAGUUGGGGGUGAAAGCCCAGGGCUCAACCUUGGAAUUGCCUUCAAAACUGACGAUCUAGAGUAUGGAAGAGGUAAGUGGAACUCCGAGUGUGGAGGUGAAAUUCGUAGAUAUUCGGAAGAACACCAGUGGCGAAGGCGACUUACUGGUCCAUGGCUGACGCUGAGGCUCGAAAGCGUGGGGAGCAAACAGG